UUCACAUUUGGUCACUUCCAAAUCUCGCUGUAUGGCUUCCUGGAAGACCUUCACCUCUUCAAUCGUGCUAAUCUGGCUUUUCCUUCCUGUCCAACGUUCAUUCCCUCCUGGCUCAUCAUUCCAUCUGACAAGUGUAAUAACACAGCAACCGUGUGGUAUUUACAAGGAAGAAACAAUAUGAGUUCUUCUCCUAUUUGUGCCUGAGGUCAGGGUACUUUGAUCCACCUGAAGAAGUGGUUGAGAACAGAAGGUGAAUCCCAUGUGGACUGAAAUGAACAAGAACAAUUCAAAGAAAGGAGCAAGGACAUUAAGUAAUUAAUGCCCAAGGUGAAGUUUAAUAAAUACUCAGUUUGCUUUGAAAUCUAGAGCUCAAGUCUUUUUGUAAUCAGAUCUCAGUAUAAAAUUCCAGUGCGAU
rnacentral:lncRNA from 1 species